rnacentral:lncRNA from 1 species
UCAGCCAGCAUUAGGGUCUUAAACCCUUAACUGAGCUUUUCCAUGCAAUCAGCAUUAGGGUUUUAAACCCUAAACUGAAUUUUCCCUUUUAGUCAGCAUUAGGGUUUUAAACCCUAAACUUAACUUUUUCCAUUCAGCCAGCAUUAGGGUUUUAAACCCUAAACUGAGCUUUUCCAUGCAGUCAGCAUUAGGGUUUUAAACCCUAAACUGAAUUUUCGCUUUAGUCAGCAUUAGGGUUUUAAACCCUAAACUGAACUUUUUCUAUUCAGCCAGCAUUAGGGUUUUAAACCCUUAACUGAGCUUUUCCAUGCAAUCAGCAUUAGGGUUUUAAACCCUAAACUGAAUUUUUCCUUUAGUCAGCAUUAGGGUUUUAAACCUAAACUGAAUUUUUUCCUUUAGUCAGUAUUAGGGUUUUAAACCCUAAACUGAAUUUUUCCUUCAGCCAGCAUUAGGGUUUUAAACCCUAAACUGAAUUUUUCCUUCAGCCAGCAUUAGGGUUUUAAACCCUAAACUGAACUGUUUCCUGUAAUCAGCAUUAGGGUUUUAAACCCUUAAGCUGAACUUUUCCCCAGUUGGUCAGUAUUAGAGUUUCAACUCUAAAACUGAACUUCUCCCCAGCUAGUCGGUAUUAGGGCUCCAACCCUGAACUGAACAUUUUUAUCUUCCUUCAUCAAUUUUAUGAACUUCCUGGCGAAUAAUUCACGAAAUUUUCCUAGUGAAACUAGGGCAGAAAAUUUCGUUCGUUUGUUUGUUUUCUCCCGCAGGUCUAACCUCGAGCCACGCAAUUCGAAAUGACCCACGAGAUGAGUCUCAACUCAGAAUCAAAGAAGAAAAAAGACAAAAAAGAAGAUGUCCCGAGAAUAUCAGAGUAAAUGG